UUUUACUGAUUCCUAGAUUUGCUUCAGCUCUUGAGCAGAUAUUACUGUUCAUUAUAUUUCAAUCUAUGAUAUUUUCACUUUUUGAUAUUUCUCUAGAGCUUCUCGUUUUUCCAAAUUCUCUCUUUAAUCCAAUCUUCAUCAUGGUCUCUUUUCCUUUCGUCAUUUUAGUUUCCUUUCUGCUUCUGUUCUAAAAUUAACUCAACCUUAAACUCUGUUCUAAUGUCACGAAAUCCAUUGGAAACUGAAUUGUGACCUUUGAAAUAUAUUUAAGAUUAAAGUCAAUUGUUCCUUCAAAUUUUUCCAAUUAAAAAACAUGUUCCUGCACUUAAUUCCCACAGUUCUUCUCUGUCAUGUCUUACCCUGUUCAAGUCCACAUCUUUUCUCGAAGUUCAGUCAUUUUCCUCUGUUGCUCACAAGUUUUUUGUAAGAAAAAUUUUAUGGGGUUGUAAACUUGUAAUGAGUGUACAUCAAGAUGGGAUUUGGUGCUUUGCCUUUGAGUUCCUGAGUAAGCUAAGCUAAUCUUAGAUUUGUGCUACUUUUGCAGAUUGCUAUCGUAUUAGAACCAUGUACAAGCAUAGCGCAUUCUGAAGUGGUUAUAAGUUCCAUGCCUGACAUGUUUUAGCUAUAUGGAGAUUUAAAACCUUUUUUGCCACUUGAAGAAGCUGCAUCUAAAACAAAUGGCUAAUAUUAUUCAGAAGAGGUAUGAAUGUGAUAGUGUGAAGAGCUAGAGACCUGGAGUACCCAUAUCAUUCUAUUCAACAAUCUGGAAGAAGUUUUUCUCUAAUCUUGGUUCUUAGUCAGAGCAGCUAUGGUGACAUUUAAGGAACUUGACAACCAGAAGCAGAGUGAUCACAGCCUAUGACGUCUCUGCCCUAUUUCACAAGUUGAAGAGAUCAAAUGCAUUUUGAGGCUGCUUCCGGUUUAGUAUGUACCAUUAUUUACUCUGUAGUUUUCACACAAAUGGCAUCUCUUUUUGUCGAGCAAGGUGAUGCAAUGAAAACUGCAAUAGCGAACUUCCAGCAGCAAGCGUGUUUAGCUUUGACAUCCUUAGUAUUUGCAGAAAGCAUAGCCAUCAGCACUAUGGCCAGUCCAAUACACAACCUUUGAAGUUGAGUUAGCCCGGUAAGGUCCCCCUUACUCUUCUUAAACCUAUUGACAAGUUGACCAACAACUCUUCGAUUGAGAAAUAUGACAGCUGCUCUACAGUAAGCAUGUCAAAGCUAGACAUGCUUGCUGCUGGAAUCUAGCUAUUGUAGUUUUCAUUGCACUUCAUUGCUCGACAAAAAUUGAUGCCAUUUGCGUGAACACUACAGAGUAAAUAACGGUACAUACUAAACCUGCAGCAGUCUCAAAGAGCAUUUGAUCUCUUCAGAAGUACUGAUACUACCAUGUUUCCUUGACUCGAAUGUCCCAAACUGGAAAAGAAAAUCACCUACUUAGAAAAUAUCAAGACAAUUCAGUUUUUAGUGAACACUAAGUCUGACGCUUCUUGUCAACUAUAUAGUUUUAUGCUUCUCGUCAACGUAUAUAUAUUUCUAUAAAUGGGGAAAUGGAGGUUGUAUUUAGCUGCAAACUUAUAUGAUGUAAAUUCCUUCUGUAUUUAUGUUUAUAUAAGUCAUACCUUCAAGACUGAUUAUUUUGCAGUGAAGAUUGAUGAUGUUACUGAA